rnacentral:misc_RNA from 1 species
AAAAGCACAGGACCUGAUGGG